CCUACGGGAGGCAGCAGUAGGGAAUUUUCGGCAAUGGGGGGAACCCUGACCGAGCAACGCCGCGUGAACGAAGAAGUUAUUCGUAAUGUAAAGUUCUUUUAACAGGGACGAAAGAGAAAUUUGAAGGUACCUGAUGAGUAACCUCCGGCUAACUACGUUCCAGCAACCGCGGUAAUACGUAGGGAGCGAGCGUUAUCCGGAAUUAUUGGCCGAAAGGGGUGGGUAGAUGGCAUAGUAAGUCUUUUGUAAAAAUGCUGGGCUCAACCCAGUAGGGCAAAAGAUACUGCAAAGCUAGAGUAUGACAGAGGCAAGUGGAACUACAUGUGUAGCGGUAAAAUGCGUAAAUAUAUGUAAGAACACCAGUGGCGAAGGCGGCUUGCUGGGUCGAUACUGACAUUGAGGCACGAAAGUGUGGGUAUCAAACAGGAUUAGAUACCCGAGUAGUC
rnacentral:rRNA from 1 species